rnacentral:rRNA from 1 species
UACGUAGGGGGCGAGCGUUGUCCGGAUUUACUGGGCGUAAAGCGCGUGUAGGCGGAAGCCUAAGUCCGAUCUGAAAGCCCCCGGCUCAACCGGGGAUCCGGACCGGAAACUGGGCUUCUUGAGGACUGCAGGGGAGUGUGGAAUUCCUGGUGGAGCGGUGAAAUGCGCAGAUAUCAUGAGGAACACCAAUGGCGAAGGCAGCACUCUGGGACGUGACUGACGCUGAGACGCGAAAGCGUGGGGAGCAAACAGG